rnacentral:rRNA from 1 species
GAUGAACGCUAGCGGCAGGCUUAACACAUGCAAGUCGAGGGGCAGCGUGAUGAAGUAGCAAUACGGAUUUGACGGCGACCGGCGCACGGGUGCGUAACGCGUAUGUAACCUACCUUUAACAGGGGGAUAACACUGAGAAAUUGGUACUAAUACCCCAUAACACUUUGAGAGGCAUCUCUUGGAGUUGAAAGUUCCGGCGGUUAAAGAUGGACAUGCGUUGUAUUAGCUAGAUGGUGAGGUAACGGCUCACCAUGGCGACGAUACAUAGGGGUUCUGAGAGGAAGGUCCCCCACACUGGAACUGAGACACGGUCCAGACUCCUACGGGAGCAGCAGUGAGGAAUAUUGGGUCAAUGGGCGCAAGCCUGAACCAGCCAAGUAGCGUGAAGGAUGACUGCCCUAUGGGUUGUAAACUUCUUUAUACGGGAACAAACUCCGGUACGUGUACCGGUCUGCGUGUACCGUAUGAAUAAGCAUCGGCUAACUCGUGCCAGCAGCCG